rnacentral:rRNA from 1 species
GACAGAGGGUGCAAACGUUGUUCGGAAUCACUGGGCAUAAAGCGCACGUAGGCGGUCCGUUAAGUCAUGUGUGAAAGCCCCCGGCUCAACCGGGGAAUUGCACAUGAUACUGGCGGGCUCGAGGAUGGCAGGGGUGAGCGGAACUCCAGGUGGAGCGGUGAAAUGCGUAGAUAUCUGGAGGAACACCGGUGGCGAAAGCGGCUCACUGGACCAUAUCUGACGCUGAGGUGCGAAAGCUAGGGUAGCAAACGGG